ensembl:lncRNA
GAAGAACUUGCUGCUGAAAAGGAAUCUGAAUACAGUAGUAGCUGGAAUCGUAUUGCUCCGCUAUGUUGUAUAUCCCCUAAGUCAUGCUUGGGUAUUUCUUUCAGCACAAAACUGGAAACUGCUAGAACUGCUUUUGUCUUCUGCUACCUGUACACUGAACACCAAGUCUGAAGAAGAUGAAGGAACUGUUCCCACAUUCCUUUUUGUAUUUGUACUCAGUUCUGUGUAAUUUAUCGAUAAAUCUGCUUGCAGCUCCUGGUAACAACGCAUACUUUGCCUAGCACAGAACUCGGCCUAGCACGAUAGCUACAGAGCCCUCUCUGGCCAUAAUUCCUGGCAAGCAUCUUAAGGAAGUGUAUGCUUGCAAUUAGCUGAUAGAUCAAAUCAAUGUCAAAAUCGAAAAUCUAUUUGCAGCAG